rnacentral:misc_RNA from 1 species
CUUCUAUUGUUUUCUAUAUCUAUCGUGUUCUGUUCCACUAUCUUGUUUUCUAUGUCUAUCUUGUAAUUAAGCAGCUAUUUAUAGGUAUUUUGGUACACUCUAUUCAUCUAUAAAAGAAAAUUUGAUGAUCAUCCAAGUGGAAAAGAAUUAGUUCAUCAUGUCCCCUUUUAUUUUUCAGAAAGUAGAAAGACUCAAAAUGACUACACCAUAACAAAGCUUAAAAUUACAUACUGAUGCAACCAAUAAAACCAACCACCAGCAAGCACAUAAAAUUAACAUGUGCUAAAGAAGGACAAUCGCAUGACUUUUUGAAUAUCAAGCUUGUAGGUUUUCCAGUUAAAUUCCAAUAAAGAGCUACUUAAAUUAGAUAAAUCUGGCGCAUACAACUUCUCAAAAAAUUUACGGUUUAUAUGGAGACUCAUAAAUGUGGCCAUGAAUCACCAAAAUUUACAUGUAUUAAACCAAAAAAGGUUUAUACAUGUGACGGCUUAUUAUUUUCCAUCAAAGGAAACGAUCCUUGAGAUAGAUUUCUGUUUAAAAUUCCACGGUCUAAAUAAAUGUAAGUCCAUAUUAGCAAGAAUUUCAUUAAUAGAAAAUAAAAUUGGAACAAAAGUGCCAUUAGUUCCAAUUGUAAAAUUACUGGUUUUUCAAUUUCUAGUAUUUAUUUUUUAACAACGGCUUCGUGGAGUAUGCAUCCAAUUGCUGUAAUAACUUGUAAGUAUCAUUCUACUAUGAGUUUGAUAAUAUUUGCCUUUGUUUUAAUGAGUAUAUAGGAAACCUUCAACAAACAAAUGCAACUGAUGACUGAAAGAAGAAUCCAAAACGUAUAAUUGUCAUAAAGGGUCAUAAGGGGAAAGACCAAGCAAAUUGAUAAAACCAAAGAAAAAACAAAUAGUUCCAGUUGUUGGGUUGGAACAGACCACACUAUCUAUUCCGGGUUUCAAUUUUGCUUCCUUAUUCAAGCAUAGUUACAUAACAUAUUAACAAACCCUUUAUGACUACUGUCCCACAGCUAAAUAAUUUCUUCAAACAAAUUUUAACAAGCAACCCUAAAAACUCAGUUGCCAAAUGGACCACUUGCUUCAUAUGACUCAACUGAUGCAACAUGACAGUAUAACUAUUCAACAUGGGUCACAAACAACCAACUCAAAAAUGGUCACUAUCUAAUGAUGCAACAAGGUCCAAAUGGACCAUAAACA